GGUACCUUUUUGCCUAUAAAACACUGGCUUAUUGGCUUUCACAAAACAAUCAGAAUGAGACUUGUAAAUCUUGUGUUAUUAACUUGUUCACACAAUAACCGAAUCAUAAAUAGAAGCCUUUCAUUCCAUCCUCUCUUUCACUUUCUCCAUAUUAAAUAGCCAAAACAAAAAGAGAAGAAAAUUAAAGGUUUCAAAUCUGAAGAAGAAUAAUAAUACAACCACCAUCAUUUAUUAAUAUUCUUUCAGAUCCAUAAGAUAAGUUUUUAAUAAUAAU